GUAAAGCUCAUGGGGCAGAUCCACACUUAAGGGCCCAGAUCCUAACCUGACUGACUUUUUUUUUUUUUUUUUUUUUUUUUUUUUUGGUAGUGCCUUCAGUGAUUUUACAUUGGUGUAGCUACGCAUGUGGGAAGUGCAAAAAAUCCAUACCCCUGAGAAACAUAGCUAUACCGAGCUAACCCCUGACGUAGACAGUGCUAGGUCCAUGGAAGAAUUCUUCUAUCAACCUACCUAUAGCCUCUCAGGGAGGUAGAUUACCUACAUGGAUGGGCGAAUCCCUCAUGUCGGUGUAGCUAGUGUCUGUACUGAAGAGCUCCAGUGGCGUAGCUGUGCUGCAAUAGCAUUUUAAGUGUAGACAUAGCCUAAGUGAACUCUAGGUUGAAGUUGUUAAACGUUACAGUUCAAUAGAAUCUCUGGUAAAUAGAGGAUCACAUCAUCAGCAGGCUAAUAUAUUUUUUCCUCUUCACCUGGGAUAUGACCUUGCAAAUCAACCUGAAAUGAAAUUGGGUUAUCAACUGCCCAGUUGAUGGCUUUUAAAAAUGGGGACAAUUUUAAUUUAUUUAAUUGUUUUGAUGAGUGCAUUAGAGGUUAACAUAAAUUGUUGCCAUCAUCUGACAGAACUACUACAGACCUCCUAUUAAGCAACUCGGUCCUGAGUAUGCUCCAGCUGCUCAGAGGAGGGUGAGAGCUGACUGAUUCCUACUAUGGUGCUCUUUGGACUCUGCUUAGGGGGCUAAGUCUCUUCUUUUAGCCUCUGAUUAGAAUGUAUCUGAUAAAUUUCAAAUGAAGUCCCCUUAUCAGCUGGAAAGGGCAGCUUUCUAUAUUUUCUUUCCCCCGGCUCCGGGGUUGGGGGAAGGUCUCCACUACUUUACUUUCCCCCCAGACUCUGUGUAUUUUGGAUCCAGUAGUCAGACUUUGGCCAUUAAAGGAGAAGAGGUCCACCACCUUGACAGGAGCAAGGAUGGACCCUGACAUCAACUUUAAGGAGACAACGCUCACAUCUUUAUCAUAAUGAGUCAUGCUCCCCUUGUCAGUCCUGUAUUGAGGGACAAAUCCAAUGUGUGUACAUCUAUAUGAAUUAAGUCAUACUAAAGAGAAUUUGAUGUUUCUUGCAAGAAUCCAAUGUCAUGGAAGGCAUGAGAUCCUGAGAAAGACAAGAGUCAUUGUCUGCAUGUGUUACAUUGACGUGCAAAACUUGCGUUGAUUUUACCACCAAGCCCCACAACAGCUCAAGCAAGAAUCUGAGAAGUGGUGGGUUUCCUAGUUUUUAUCCUGGGGCUUGGAGAUCAGGUGGACAUGCUUGAAUGGAUCUCCCUCUGAAGGGGGGACAAAUUACAUUUUAGGCCAGGUGCAAACAGCAUGACUAUUCUCUCUUCCCAGUUCUUAAGCUUAGGCUGUCCUGAAUAACCUGACUGACAGACUUGCUCCAGGAGAGUCAGAUGAUUUACGAAGAAAGUGCUAUUAAAUGCAAUCAAGAUUAAAUGCUUUAUUUGUAAGCUCAUGGAUGAUGAUGAUGAUUUUUCUUAAUGAUUUGUCACAUGUUCAGAAGCAUGAACUGAAAUUUUGCCUAGUGUCGUGGACUUCAGAGACAGCUCUUCAGAUGGAGCCAGAGGAGCAUACAUUAAGAGCCUGAAUAUUGUUAGUCUUUUGCCGAAUGUGGAAGAGUUACUGCAGAUUCCACCCUCUCCUCCCCUGCCCCGUUCUUGAGAUAUGUGCAGAGCAAGAAAUCAAACUACCCUGUAUUCAUUGUGCGAGCUGGACACACCUCCAGUGCACGCACACACCUCUAAUUCCUGGCUGAGUCACCCAGGCAUAUCUUUUCAAACUUGACUGGAACAUCUUUGGCAUGAUGAUGUUGGGUAGAGCAUUAGUUCCUACUCAUAGAUUUCCUGGCCAGUCAAAGACAGAAAAGGGGAACCUUCAAAUGUGACAUCACUGUCAGAGUAUCCUUUAUCCUUACACAUAAUAGUAGCAGUAGUUGGAGGACUCCAGCUGAGUUGAAAAGAAGGUCAUCAUUUGCUUUGGCUCGAACAUUUAAUACUCUCACAGUGCUAAGGAAAACUCCAGGAAAAAAGAUUUCAUCCUAUAUAGCAUAUGUUGUGAAAUGAAUAUGGUCUUUAACCUUAGUUCAGUAAUAGUAUGGAGGAUACCUAAUUUCAUAAUACUAGAUCUAAGAUAUUUUUCAAGAAUAUAUAACUGAAAUCAGUUAAAAUAAUUUUUUAGGAUUUUUCUUUUCU